GACGAACGCUGGCGGCGUGCCUAAUACAUGCAAGUCGAACGCAGAAGGGACGGGGGAGUAACACGUGGGUAACCUCCCAUCAGAGGGGAUAACACUUGGAAACAGGUGCUAAACCGAUACUGCUGGAUGGUCCCGCGGUGCAUUAGCUAGUUGGUGAGGUAACGGCUCACCAGGGCCACGAUGGAUAGCCGACCUGAGAGGUGGAUCGGCCACACUGGGAAUUGGACAAGGCCCAGACUCCGACGAGAGGCAGCAGUAGGGAAUCUUCGGCAAGGGACGAAAGUCUGACCGAGCAACGCCGCGUGAGUGAAGAGGGUUUUCGUAUCGUAAAACUCUGUUGUUAGAGCAGCGGUAUCUAACCAGAGUGCCACGGCUAACUACGUGCCAGCAGCCGCGGUAAUUC
rnacentral:rRNA from 1 species